rnacentral:lncRNA from 15 species
CUGCUGGGCUGAAAACUGUUAUUUAUUUACAUUUGUUUUACUUUUUAUGAAUUUAUAUUAUAUAAUAAAAAAUAAAAUAUAUUUUUUAUUUAAUUUUUUUUUUCUUAUUACCCCUAUUUUAUAAGUUGCUCCUCUGUUACUGAAUCAAAACUAAGGUGACAGCUCGGCUAACUGGAUUCAAACAGGUGCAACUUUGGGGUUAAAGGUCUUUGUUGUUAGUCAGUGGAUGGAAGAUUUCUCACACAGAUGGUUGGAAGAGUAAGCAAGAGCAGAGAUGUGACAGAAUAUAAUAUAAGGGAUGAGAGAGAGACGAGAAGUAACAACCCUGGCCAAGCUGGGUGCCCCAAGGUGAAUUUCACUUCUUAUAUGGCGGUACAGACGGACGGUGGAUCAGUCCGGGAUGGAAAAGGAAAAUCCUCGUCGUCAUCUUCCUCCUCCUGCUUUUCCAGAAAGGGAGAAAGGUGAGGCUGUAGCUGCUCAGCGAGAUGAUGUGAAAGACACAGUAGAACGCUGGAGGCUUGACAGCUCUUUAACGAUCUGCAGGCUGUGUUAUUUGACUGGUCUUUGCUCCCCCCACCCAUCCAUCCAUCCACCCACCUCUCUGCUCGCUGCAGCAGCCAGAACAUUCCUCACACAUCUGGCCCCCGAGUCUUUCCCAAACGCUCCCUCUCCUACCACUCUGCGCCGUAAUUACCCGCAAGCCCUGUGUUCUCCUUUUCUCUUUUCUUUUUAUGAUCCUCAGCCCCCUCCUCGGCCGAAAUCAUAAAAGCGUGGAGCGCACAAACGUCAUUUAUAGUCAUGAUUUAGAAGGAAAGAGGCUUUCUGGUGUCCGCAGAGAUGUGCCAUCCAAAAAUAUGCUUUUUCCUCAGCGUGCGUUGCCAGAACUUAUAAAAGCAAGACAAACAUAAUGAAUCAGUUACCCAGUUUGAACUGUAAUUUCUUCUCUAGAUAGUUGUUUGCCCCUUGAGAUGUUUGCACUGUUUUGAAGCAGCCGACUAAAGUGAGAUUCAACAAGUGGGAGUGGGAAUGAGGAAAAUUUCCAGUGAUAUAGAUGUCUUAUGGGACAGUGUGUGUGUUUUCCAGCUGUGGAAGUACUUUUAUUCAAGUUCACGUUUGAGGGUACUUGUACUUAACUUGAGCGUUUCCAUUUUUUGCUACUUUAUACAUCCAGUCCACCACAUUUCAUUUAUAAAUAUCGCACUUUAACCUGCACAAUACUUGUCUAACAGCUGCAGUUAGUUGUUGAAAUUAAGAUUUUAUAUUAAAA